AACGAACGCUGGCGGCAUGCCUAACACAUGCAAGUCGAACGAGACCUUCGGGUCUAGUGGCGCACGGGUGCGUAACGCGUGGGAACCUGCCCUUAGGUUCGGAAUAACUCCCCGAAGGGGGUGCUCAUACCGGUUAAUGUCUUCGGACCAAAGAUUUAUCGCCUUUGGAUGGGCCCGCGUUGGAUUCGCUAGUUGGUAGGGUAAUAGCCUACCAAGGCGACGAUCCAUAGCUGGUCUGAGAGGAUGAUCAGCCACACUGGGACUGAGACACGGCCCAGACUCCUACGCGAGGGAGCAGUGGGGAAUAUUGGACGAUGGGCGAAAGCCUGAUCCAGCAGUGCCGCGUGAGUGAUGAAGGCCUUAGGGUUGUAAAGCUCUUUUACCCGGGAUGAUAAUGACAGUACCGGGAGAAUAAGCUCCGGCUAACUACGUG
rnacentral:rRNA from 1 species